rnacentral:rRNA from 1 species
CAGCAGCCACGGGAAUACGAAGGGGGCUAGCGUUGCUCGGAAUCACUGGGCGUAAAGGGUGCGUAGGCGGGUCUUUAAGUCAGGGGUGAAAUCCCGAGGCUCAACCUCGGAACUGCCUUUGAUACUGGGGAUCUCGAGUCCGGAAGAGGUAAGUGGAACUGCGAGUGUAGAGGUGAAAUUCGUAGAUAUUCGCAAGAACACCAGUGGCGAAGGCGGCUUACUGGUCCGGAACUGACGCUGAGGUGCGAAAGCGUGGGGAGCAAACAGGAUUAGAGACCCGCGUAGUCCCUGUCUCUUAUAC